UCAGCAGCCCGGUCUGUCGUCGCGCGUAAAGCGUGGAGGAAAGUCGGGACAACAAAGGGCGCCGUACUUCCUAACGGGAAGGUCCCGAAUUUCUCGGGAACAGCAAGUGCCGCAGAAAAUAACUGCCCGCCUUCGGCGGGUAAAGGUGAAAACGUGGGGUAAGAGCCUACGCCGCAAAGUGGUGACACUAUGCGGGGGUAAACCUUACGGGUUGAAAGGCCAUGUAUACCGGGGUUUCCGUCAGUUGACGGAAUAAGGGCUGCCCGUCCGAUCCCGGGGGGUUGGCCGAUUGAUCACACCAGCGAUGGUGUGGCCAGAUAAAUGACAGAACUCAAACAGAAUCCCGCUUAUGAGGCUGCUGAUACC
rnacentral:RNase_P_RNA from 1 species